rnacentral:tRNA from 1 species
AAUUAUUUAGCUAUCUAAGCAAUAUGUUUUGAAUACAUAUUAUAGAAAAAUUAAAUUUUCUAAUAAUUU